rnacentral:sRNA from 1 species
AACCAGGGGAGCAGCAAAGAGACAGUGGGGGGCUGCCAGUGAGAGAUGGGGUGGCAACAGCUGCAAGGUGGACAUUGAGCAGCUAGAUCCCCGCGGCCGGACUCCCCUGCACCUGGCCACCACGCUGGGGCACCUUGAGUGUGCCCGUGUGCUCCUGGCACACGGUGCAGACGUGGGCAGGGAGAAUCGCAGCGGCUGGACAGGUGGGCAGCCCUGCUCACCCCAGCCCCACAGCCGGGGCCUCCCCAGCAUCAUAGACCUAUGGUUGGCUGAAGGGUCCUGCCCUGUGACCUUGCCUCCCCCUCCCCCAGUGCUCCAGGAGGCUGCCCAGGACUUCUACGUGGAGAUGAAAUGGGAGUUCACUAGCUGGGUGCCCCUGGUGUCCAAGAUCUGCCCUAGUGACACCUACAAAGUGUGGAAGAGCGGCCAGAACCUGAGGGUAGACACCACACUCCUGGGCUUUGACCACAUGACCUGGCAGCGAGGGAACCGCAGCUUUGUCUUCAGGGGCCAAGACACAAGCGCUGUGGUCAUGGAGAUUGACCACGACCGCCGGGUGGUGUACACAGAGACUCUGGCACUGGCUGGGCAGGACCGGGAGCUGCUGCUGGCUGCUGCUCAGCCCACCGAGGAACAGGUGCUGAGCCGGCUUACCGCGCCCGUCGUCACCACGCAGCUUGACACCAAGAAUAUCUCCUUUGAGAGGUGGGUGGGCAUGGCCUUGGUCACCCUUGAGCCAGCCUGGUGGGGUGCCUGCCUCACCUGGACCACUCUGCUUCCCCAGGAACAAGACUGGCAUCCUGGGCUGGCGCAGUGAAAAGACGGAGAUGGUGAAUGGAUAUGAAGCUAAGGUGUAUGGGGCAUCUAACGUGGAGCUCAUCACCCGGACACGGACAGAGCAUCUUUCAGAACAGCACAAGGGCAAGGUCAAAGGCUGUAAGACACCUUUGCAGUCCUUCCUGGGAAUCGCUGAGCAGCACGGGGGCCCCCAUAAUGGGACCCUGAUCACUCAGACUCUGAGCCAAGCCAACCCCACUGCCAUCACUGCAGAAGAAUACUUCAACCCCAACUUUGAGUUGGGCAACCGUGAUAUGGGCCGCCCCAUGGAACUGACCACCAAGACACAGAAGUUCAAGGCCAAGCUGUGGCUGUGUGAGGAGCAUCCCCUGUCCCUGUGUGAGCAGGUGGCCCCCAUCAUUGACCUCAUGGCCGUCAGCAAUGCGCUUUUUGCCAAGCUCCGGGACUUCAUCACCCUGCGUCUGCCUCCUGGCUUCCCAGUUAAGAUUGAAAUCCCGAUCUUCCACAUCCUCAACGCCCGCAUCACCUUCGGGAACCUCAACGGCUGCGACGAACCGGUGCCGUCAGUGCGAGGCAGCCCUAGCAGCGAGACGCCUUCCCCAGGCAGCGACUCCUCCAGCGUCAGCAGCUCCAGCUCCACGACCUCCUGCCGCGGCUGCGAGAUCUCCCCAGCGUUGUUCGAGGCCCCGCGCGGCUACAGCGUGAUGGGCGGCCAGCGGGAGGCGGCGACCCGGGACGACGACGACGACUUGCUGCAAUUCGCCAUCCAGCAGAGCCUGCUUGAGGCGGGCAGUGAGUAUGACCAGGUGCGUCUCCGCGGCGCGCGGGGCCACGGGACUCCGCGCCGCCACGGCUAACACCCACGCCUCCCCGCAGGUCACCAUCUGGGAGGCGCUAACCAACAGCAAGCCAGGCACCCACCCCAUGUCCUACGAGGGUCGCCGACAGGACAGGAGCGCCCCGCCCACGCCGCAGCGCCAGCCUGCGCCCCCGGCGUCAGUGCCCAGCCCUCGGCCCAGCUCAGGGCCAGGUUCCGGCGGCCACGUGUUCCGGAGCUACGACGAGCAGCUGCGGCUGGCGAUGGAACUGUCGGCGCAGGAGCAGGAGGAGAGGCGGCGGCGCGCGCGCCAGGAGGAGGAGGAGCUGGAGCGCAUCCUGAGGCUCUCACUGACCGAGCAGUAGCGCCCCCUGCCGGGACCCUCGCCUGCGCCACGCGCGCCACGCCCAGGGCCAGGAGCCAGACAAACCCCGGCCUGUGCGCCUGCAGAGCGGCGGCUGGAGACUGGAGCCACCGCCUCGCGGGUGCAGCAGCACAGCAGGGAGUGUGUCAAACGUAGCCCCCUGGCCUGUGCAAGCCCUGACUCCCUCAUGGUGCCUCGGACAGUGGGGAGCAUAUUGGGCUGGGGUAAGCACUAGACCCGAGUAGACUGGACACAAAGGGCUCGCCCAGGGCCCUGGCGCCACCCCCACCCCUUCCCACCAGCUGCUGCUAGCCUCUGUGGUUGUACAUCCCACUUGCCCCCACACGGAGACUGACUCUAAAACCCUUCAUCCAAUGGUGCUAACCCCCGGCUCUCCCCUGCCUCACCUCACCCACCCAGAGAAGCACAGACCCCGCCAGGGGCAGGGGCCCACCGCACACCCUUGUCCCGGGCCUGUCUGGGACUGGCCUUCCCGGCUCAGCCAGUGAGGCUCAGAAGGGACACAAAAAGGGAUGGAAGAAAAGAACAAAGAGAAACUGUUCCUCCCACCCCCUUCCCUGAUGCCAGGGGCACCAGACUGAUUCUGAGGCACAAAUAAAAGAGGCUUCAUACCGG